GCCUUUUAGCGUCGUGGUCACUUGUGGAGCUGACCGCUGUUGCCUAUGGUAACGGGACUGGCGGGCGCCUCAGACCCCCAAGGCGCUUGCGCGCUCCGGGGUGUCGGUGCUGGUCAGCACUCCUGAUGACCAAGGCCUACGGAGCGAAUUCCAGCUCACGCGGAGCCCUUUCUCGGCGUGGGGCGGCGCGAACUGGCUCUGCCCUUCAGCUGCACCUAGGCCUGCUGGCAGCGGAGGCAGACUGACCACGCCGGCACUUCCACGUUGCCCUCUUUCGAGUGUUACAAUUACUUCUGAUAUCGCUGGAGAAGAAGAGGAGGAGGAGGAAGAGAAAGAAGAAAAAGAAGGAGGAGGGGAAGGAGAAGGAGGAAGAGGAGGAGAAAUAGAAGAGGAGGAAGAAAAAGAGGAAGGAGGAAGAGAAGAAGAACAAGAACAAAAACAAGAAGCGGCAGCUAAAACAAAAUUUCAAGACACAUCAGUCAGGUCUUUUUACGUCUUGAACCCAGCGUGUUGAUAUUGCGGAUCCCACAUUUUGAAGGCCAUAGGCCUGGUGUGUAAAGUGACUGGUGGAUGUUGGGGAGAACAAACAGGGUUGAAAUGAGGACCCUGCUCUCACGCCUUCUGACUGACUCGGUUGGAAGGGAGUGUCUGUGUCCGGUGGCUGCUCGAGUGGGUGACAGCUCAUAGCAGGGCUUCAGAGAAAACUCUGAGGGAGAAAUUGAAUCUCAAGGGACCGUCAUGUGUUAGCCUGGCAAAGCAAGUCGGAAAGGGCUGCGGCAACGGAAGGGCCCAAAACACAUGGCCCCAGAAUUUCUGUGUGCGGGGGGAUUUAUCUGACCCCCAGUAUCAAGUGCAAAUACAGGACAGGGACAUCUUUAUCAGAUCACUCACAAAUAAUCCCAUGGGGAACAGAUGAACAGCGAACACGCACAAAAGCAUGUGUUAGAACUGAAGGUCAAGGCUGCCCUUGUUCUCAUCUGAUACAGUUUAUUCUUACUUGAAGAGAGCACGACCUGGGUAUAAGCCAGAGGGCACUGUGAUUUUAUUAUCUCUAUAUAGAAAGUGCAAAGAGUUUUGUCUUAAGAGACUUAAAAUGUAUGAUUUUCUUUUUUGGUAUCAUGUGAGAGAAACCAUGGAAGCUGUGGAGGUGGUUUUUUCCCAGCACCUUGCUGUAUCCACUUAGAAAGGUUCUGUCUGGAAGCAGAGAUGGUCCUUGUGCCGUGGUAGUUUUUGUUUUACUUAGCGUUUACAGUGCUGUGAAAGUUUUCUUCUUCACAGUGGAGAUAGCUGUUGAAACCUUCUCCAGUGUCAGUAAUGACAGCCGGCCCUCAUGGCGCACUUACUGUGUUCUGGUGACACACGCUUCAUGCUCAACAUGCGACAUUUCUCAGAUGACACCCUCAAACAGACCCUAUAUGUCGUCUUAGCAUCAGACUUAAUGUGCGUAGCUAACUUUUGCAAGCUCAUGUGGGGGACUGGUUGAAGCGCUGGGACAUGCCAGGGGACACUGAUGCCAGACAGACAGGGACAGACUCAUCCUGUAACUCUCACACUGCUGGAAGCACAGCCAUGGUGCGACACCCGCACACCUCACCUGGAGUCCCACGCAGACCCUCCCAUCCUUCUAGCUGUUCUCCGAUGUCCUAAUUCCAAGGACCUUGGUCCAAUUUGCAUCAUUCCAGUGUCCCAGCACUGCUGGAUAGAAAUCAGUGUGUUUCCUCUCCAGCUUCUUCUGUGCUUCAUGGAGUUCACAUUCUAUUACUCAAUGUCUCGAGAUUCUCAGCUUUCAUGAAGCUUCUCACCCACAGGGUUUCUUUAUUUCUCCCUCCUCUCCACACACAUGGCCUUGGGGCGCUGGUGGUCCCUGCCUCACCUGCUGUCACUCACUGAGCCCCCUGACCAGGCCUUCUCCGGGUAGUUAUGUUCCUCACCCCUCUGCUGUCUGGCUUUCUUUACACACCUAACAUCCGGGCCACUUGCUUGUUCAAGCACCCUCUUUGAGGCCUUGUGACUGACCAAGUGGCCUAGAUCGUCUGUGUUGCCACCCCUGGUGGAUGAUCCACAUGGCACCCUGUGUCAGGACCCUACCUGCUGCUCUAAAACAACCUCAGCUCCAGGGCACUUAGGAGUCUCUCUGCUCCCAUUAUGGCUUAGAACUAAAACGCCCCCAAGAGCUUCAUGUCUGCAUAGGCGGGGCUUUCACAAGGUGAUUGGGUUAUGGGGGCUGAUAGCAGACUUGAUCUGUGCAGGCAGGUUCUGGUCAGAACAGGUAGGUCCCUGUGGGCGUGGUCUGAAAGGGUUUAUCUCUGUUUCCUGGCUCCUCCUUUCCUUCUCUGCUUCCUGUUCACCAUGUGGAGAGCAACUCUUCUCCGCCAGGCCCCUCUACUUUGCUGCCCUGCCUUGGAGCCCGCCAACUAUGGAUGGAAACCUCUGCAAACUGUGAGCCAAGCUAAUCUGUCCUUCUUUUAGCUAUGUGGGUCCAGUGUGGUGUCCCAGUGACUGGGAAAGGGACUCAGGUAGCACCUCAGGUCCCAUAUGAGCUGGGGCUGCUGCAGUCCAAAGUCUGACCAUCAGCAGGUCCCUCAGUAUGGCUCAGACACCCUCACUGUCCUGAAACCUUGCCUUGGACUUGAUGUCCAACCAACUGUGACCUUGAACCUCCUGUUUUUUCCCAUCACUGUGCUCCUUCAAGUCAGCACCUGCAGGUGGGCACUCAGCCCUGAGAAGUUUGUUUCUCACUGAGUGAUUCUGUUAUAACACAAGCUUGGUUGAUUCCAAGCCAAAAUUUUUCCAAUCAUGCAGAUUUUUUUUUUUUUUUGAUUCUUGCUCCCAAACCAGAAGACCAUCUGCAUGGGCUUCAUAACACCUUUUUGGCUGUCACUUUCCUGUCUCCUAUGAAUUCAUUGUUGCUUCUCCUUGUGGACCAGCCCAGUUCCUCCUCACCCAAGCAGCCAUCUCCUGAUGUUUUCCUGGUCCUCGGCAUCCACCCUCCCACCUCUUCAACCCCAACAUGGGAGUCUCCUUCUGCCCUUCUAGUAAUGUGAGCUCCUUUUGUGUUCCUUUGUAGGUGAGGAAAUAUGUGAAGAUUAGUAACUUUCAGUAUAGGACAUGUGGUGAAAGGGUCUUUACAGAAACUCUGGUGGGAGAAUGGCAUGGCAUGACCCUGUUUGGAGGACAACCUGACAUCACUGCCCAGAAUGAAAGUGCACACGCCUUUUGACCCAGUGAUCUGCCUUCACGUCUAAGAGUUUAUUUAAGAAAAUCAAGAGUGCAAAGACAUGUGCAGAUUUCUGCUGCAGCUUUUUUACAGGUUGUUUUCUGGGGGAAUGACAAAAUUAAAUAUGGCAUGAUAAACAUGUAAUUUCCCAUAGCUGCAGGAAGAGGAAGGAUUUGUGUGUGCUGACACAGAACUAGAUCUGUAAUAUAAAGUGAAAUGAAAGAGCUAGAGGGUGGUAAUCAGAGUAAGAUCUCAUUUUAAGAAAAGGGCAUACAGACAAAUUCAGGAAGGCAGAACAAUGCAUUUUUUAUACCAAAAUCCAUGAAAGGAUAUAAGUGCUAUAGAUAUCCACUGCAUACAUACCUGUAAUUUGAGUUUAUUAAGCAGUUAUGAGUUUCAUAAUUUAAUGACAUAGAAAAUAGGAGCCAUUAUAGAAGCGCUCUUUGUCACAUUUCCAUAGUUUUAAUUGCUCGUCAGAAUCUCACCCUAGAGAGACCUAGAUGGGAACCUCUCAGAGAAACCUGUGCCUUCCUCUUAUUUUCAUGUUGGUUGUGGUCCACUAUUUUUAGCUCUUUCUUUUUUGUCCAGAUGGCGGUGUGGGUCCAAGCCUUCCACGCAGGAAGUGGAGCACGCCAAGGGCGUCACUUGUGGCCAGUUCACAGUUUCACGACCCCUUUCCCAGCCUCUGCUAGGGCAGGGAUGCUUGGCUUUGGUGAGGUCCUGUUGGCUUCUCAGGGCCUGACCUGAAGAAGGGCCGCUGGGCAGGCCUUGCUGGGGUGACUGAUGGCAGAAUUCAGUGAGAAACCUCCCUCCAUUCCUUUCAAAGGACACAGAGACACAUGAGGUGCGUGGAAGUCUCGUUUUCUUCGCAGCAGUACAGAAACGUCCUUCGUGGGGGAGGGACAGUAAAAAUAGUGGCCCAGUGUGUGCCAGGGGCUGUGAAGGGACUGGAGCCUCUCGUCUCCGUCUCCGUCCUUCUUGUCCUGCCCUCCUGGUUCUCCCCGGGAACUCAUGUCGGAGCUAGCUCCGAGCCCAUGCUGCCAGCCCUGCUGGGCCCCACCCCUUCAUCAUCCCUUCAGAUUUCUGGCACCUAGUCUGUGUUCCUCUCCUCUCUGAUCCUUCUUCAGGUUCAAGUCUUUGACUCAUUCAAAAAAAAAAAAAAAUGACAAAGUGAGCCUCAGUCCGGCUACUCCUCUGUGGAAACCUUCCUGGCCCUCUGUGAUCCCAACUUUGCCUCCUCCUGGUUGCCACACCGGGGGGAGUGUGGCCUCUGUGGACUCCAUGGUGCCUGUUGGUCACACUGCAUCCUGGCUGCCUUCUCCUCCCACUGGAAGAGGCCUCUUGGGAGCCCCGUGUCAGCUCCUUGCUGCUAAUCCCAUGCCGGUCUCCGUCGGGUGUGCAAGGCACGCAUAGCUGCCUCCUUCUGUCCCAUACCCUGGGCGCUUGAUCCUCUGUGCUCCCCUCUCCCGCUGGCCCUGCUGCCCAUCCCUGCAGCUCAGUGUCCCUUAUAGGAUUCUUCUCUACCCCAUUGUCCAACUGCUCAGUCCUCCUCGUCUGUGGGGCUUUGCUUCUUCCCAGGGUUCCGCCUACCCUUUCUGAGGGCGACCAUCAAUCUGGCCUCCAGCCCAGGCUGCACACUCACACACCCAGGCUGGAUUUACAGGACCUUGAAGGUUUCCCACUCCUAGGUGAGGAGAAGACUAAAAUGCAGCUGAGGGGCUGGGGAUUUAGCUCAGCGGCAUAAGCACCUGCCUUGUAAGCAGGCAGUCGUGAGUUCGAUCCCUGGUACCGAUAAAAAGGAAAAAGACAAAAAAAAAAAAAAAUGCAGCUGAUUCCGAAAGCUUGUCACCUGCCUGCCUUCGAGGUCUCCUUCCUGCUUGCUCUCUAAUCCUGUCCAGCCUGAGGGCAGAUUCACACUCACCUGGGAGUUCUGGUUCCUGCAGCUUCCAGCGCGGCCCACCAAAAAACCAAAGGACCGGUCACCCCCUUCUAUCUAAAAGCAACUUCCCCAUUCCAGUUCUUCUUGUGAUAGAAAAGGCGGCCCCACCUUUCUCUUUCCUCUCUGUCGGCCAGUACGGUAUGUGACCCUGCUGACAGUUGUCACCUCACCGUGCUUCACUGCUGCAGGGUAUCCCCGACACUUAGCUCCAGGGCCUCCCUCCCACCUCUGUGGGGAGCUUGGCAGUUGCCCUCCUCUACCCUCUUUUUUUCUUGACUUGAUGCUAUUAUUUAUUUAUUUAUUAUAUAUUAUUUAUUUAUUAUAUAUUAUUUAUUUAUUUGACCCUCCUGCCUCAGCCUCCCGAGUGCUGGGAUUACAGGAGUGCAACACCAUGUCUGGAUUUUAAUUAUUUUUUUAAAGAGGAAAAACAAACAAACCCCAGAAAAACCAAGAAGCAAACCAAACCAGAAAAACAACAAGCCAAAAAACCAAACCAAACAAAAAAAGAAAACCCAAGCAACAAAAGCAAAGUGAUGACAGCAGCAGCAACUGCUGUACACUAGCAAAAAGAGCUUCCUUAUGUUUGUGUUGUGCCUAAAAAAAUUUUUUUUGCAGUAUCCAGAAUCAAACUCAUUACCUCACACUUGCCAGGCAGGUGUUUAUGCCACUGAGCUAAAUCCCCGGCAUGCCUAAAGUUAUAUGACCAAAGUACCUGUAACACCGCCAUACUGUUCUGUAUACGUCAUUUUUUCUGGGUGACCUAACUGAUAUGUUAAUCAGUGCUCCCCUCUAUAAAUAAUUGUAAAGCCCUGAGAACCUGACCUAAUUGAUAUGUUAACCAUUGCUGUCCUCUGCACAACAGAUGUUAUCUAAAAUUGAGUGCUAAAAUAAGUUGACAAAGGAUUGUUAAUUCCUCUGCAAAGGAAAACAAAGGUCUUCCUCAUUCCUUAGCAGAUUUCCUGGUCCACGCCCAUAACCCCUUACUUUGUAAACUGUACUUUCUACAAAAAGUCUGGAAAGUUUUGAGGGAGACACACAGCUUUUGCAAACUCCAACUGCAUUGUGUCGCUGGGCCCAGGAUAAAAUAAAUCAGCACUGAUUUUUAAAAA